UACGUAGGUGGCGAGCGUUGUCCGGAUUUACUGGGCGUAAAGAGCGCGCAGGCGGUCGUACAAGUCGCGUGUGAAAGCCCCUGGCUCAACUGGGGGAGGGUCACGCGAUACUGUUCGACUCGAAGGCAGGAGAGGGAAGUGGAAUUCCCGGUGUAGUGGUGAAAUGCGUAGAGAUCCGGAGGAACCCCAGAGGCGAAGGCGGCGUCCUGGCUCGCAUCUGACGCUCAGAC
rnacentral:rRNA from 1 species